rnacentral:lncRNA from 1 species
GCACUCGUGGCGCUAUCCAACCAAAUAUGCAAGCGUGUCUUUGCCGAGCUCAAUUAGGCUCUUACAGGCUAUAAUCAAAACAAAUAGGUUUAAUUGGUCCUACAACCAAAACUCACAUGCCCUUCGUACAAUCCGAUGCAAAAACAACAAACUGGGUCCACCGUCAACUGCGACGACACCCGACAGUCCGGAACAGUCUACACACUACUGUAAAAUAAGUUCGGUAUUUCAGCACGAGCGUAAACUCGUCCUACACUAAUCUGGGUGUCUAUCGCAUACUAACAGUGACGAUACAAAAGAAUAACAGCUCCUAAAGCUAAAUCUGGUAAUUUUCAUAAAGCGACAGUGUAGAAUCUAAAUAUUUUCUCCUAAAUCAAUUCCAAGUCCAACAUAUAAAAUUAUACUACUAGCUUAACUCCAAAUUCAAAUGUUAACUCUAAUCCAUGAAUUUAAGUACUAGCAAGAAAAUAAACAAAUGAUACAUGUUCACAAUAUAAAAACUUAGGAGGUAUUCCGACGAUUUUGGUAAACUUCAACCCACCUCGAAACGCUAAUCCAACCACGGU